CAUUUUCCAUUCUGUGCUCCAAGAACCUCUUUAGCACUAGCAUUCUAUGAGUUAUAUGUGUGUGUGUGUGUGUGUGUGUGUGUGUGUGUGUGUAUAUUCCCCUGUCAGUAUCAUAUGGUUCCCCUUGUCAUCACCUAAUGGGUAGGUGUGAUGACUGAACAUUUCUCUAUCACUGCUUAAUACAGGGACCCCAUGUGAAAUCUGGUACUUAAUAAGUAUUUUGUUUUGUUUUGUUUUGUUUUCUGACGACUUUGAUGAUGAAAAGGGUCCUGCAUGGUACUAGAGAUACCAAGAUCAAAAAGGAAGAAAAAGAAAAAAAUCAGCUCCUGUCCUCAAGGGACUUAAAAUCCGCCUGGGAGAGAAGCAACAUGAACAUAGAUAAGUACAUAAAUGCAAAAUAUAUACAAAGUAAUUUCUGAAGGAGAAAAAAACACUAACUAUUCAGGCUGGGAUUGCUAGGGUGGGUAGAAUCAGGAUAAACCUUGUGGAAGAGUUAGCACUUAUGCUGAGCUUUGAAGAAAGCAAAGGUAAAGAUAGAGUGCAUUCUAAGGAUGGGAAAUAGACUACAAGGUGCCAAAAUGUUUACCCAACUCAAGGAGGCCAGCUUGCCUGGAAAAAAAAAAUUAAUAAGAAAGAAAUGUGCCAUGAGUCUGAAUAGGUCAUCUGGAGGCAGACUCAAGAAGGCUUCAAAUGACAAGUUGAGGAAUUAAUAUUUUAUUUUAGAGGCAACUGAAAGACACUGAGCUUCUUGAGCAAGAGAAUAUGAUCAGACUCACCUUGCUUUAAGUAAUAUAAAUUUGACAGCUAUAUGCAUCUCUAUAGGACACUCCAGCUCUAGAACCCCAAAGGGAAUCUGUGUUGAGGCAAAAUGAUAUUUACAUUUCAUGUCCACAUAUUAAGUGGGAUAGAUCAUGGGUUCUUGGAUGAUUAUGAGAAUAUGCAUUAAAACAGGUGAUUGUAAUUUUGUGGAUGUGUGUUUAAAAUGUUAUAUGUGUAAGGACUAAGAUUAGUGCACAUGUACAGAGACAUUGAUGGAGUACUGGACUUGGAAUAAGAAAGACAUGGGCUCAUAACUUGCCUCAGUUACUUACCAGCUGUAUGACUAGGAACCAAUCACUUUACCUCACAGAGCCUUAGUUUCUUCAUCUUUAAAAUGGUGUCAUGGGUAAACUAGCUAGUCUCUAAGGUCUCUUUUAGCUCUGAAUAUUUGGUUCUAUGAUCUCAUAAAUGUAGGUAUACAAUGAAGAGGUAUUAAAGCUAGGAAGGAUUCCCAACAUGCCAAUUAAGAUAAUCAUUUUAAAAGGGAAAAAAUUAUUUUUUUUAAAAGAUGCAUAAUCCUUCCACACAAAUCUAAAAUUCAGUAUGCCA
rnacentral:lncRNA from 1 species